rnacentral:rRNA from 1 species
UACGGAGGGAGCUAGCGUUGUUCGGAAUUACUGGGCGUAAAGCGCGCGUAGGCGGCUUUGUAAGUUAGAGGUGAAAGCCCGGGGCUCAACCCCGGAAUUGCCUUUAAGACUGCAUCGCUAGAAUCCAGGAGAGGUGAGUGGAAUUCCGAGUGUAGAGGUGAAAUUCGUAGAUAUUCGGAAGAAACACCAGUGGCGAAGGCGGCUCAC